rfam:Schistosoma rodhaini strain Burundi genome assembly, scaffold: SROB_scaffold0003288
AUCCACCUGACGAGUCCCGAAUACGACGAAAAGCGCGUCCUGGAU